rnacentral:rRNA from 1 species
AUUGAACGCUGGCGGCAUGCCUUACACAUGCAAGUCGAACGGUAGCGGGCCUUCGGGUGCCGACGAGUGGCGAACGGGUGAGUAAUGUAUCGGAACGUACCUUUCAGUGGGGGAUAACGUAGCGAAAGUUGCGCUAAUACCGCAUAUUCUGUGAGCAGGAAAGUAGGGGAUCGCAAGACCUUGCGCUGGUUGAGCGGCCGAUAUCAGAUUAGCUAGUUGGUGAGGUAAAGGCUCACCAAGGCGACGAUCUGUAGCGGGUCUGAGAGGAUGAUCCGCCACACUGGAACUGAGACACGGUCCAGACUCCUACGGGAGGCAGCAGUGGGGAAUCUUGGACAAUGGGGGCAACCCUGAUCCAGCCAUGCCGCGUGAGUGAAGAAGGCCUUCGGGUUGUAAACUGCUUUUGUACGGAACGAAACGGCUCUCUCUAAUACAGGGGGCUAAUGACGGUACCGUAAGAAUAAGCACCGGCUAACUACGUGCCAGCAGCCGCCGUAAGAC